rnacentral:rRNA from 1 species
AUUGAACGCUGGCGGCAUGCCUUACACAUGCAAGUCGAACGGCAGCACGGGAGCUUGCUCCUGGUGGCGAGUGGCGAACGGGUGAGUAAUACAUCGGAACGUACCCUGAAGUGGGGGAUAACGUAGCGAAAGUUACGCUAAUACCGCAUAUUCUGUGAGCAGGAAAGAGGGGGAUCGCAAGACCUCUUGCUUUAGGAGCGGCCGAUGUCGGAUUAGCUAGUUGGUGAGGUAAAGGCUCACCAAGGCGACGAUCCGUAGCGGGUCUGAGAGGAUGAUCCGCCACACUGGGACUGAGACACGGCCCAGACUCCUACGGGAGGCAGCAGUGGGGAAUUUUGGACAAUGGGCGCAAGCCUGAUCCAGCCAUGCCGCGUGAGU